rnacentral:rRNA from 1 species
AUUGAACGCUGGCGGAAUGCUUUACACAUGCAAGUCGAACGGCAGCACGGACUUCGGUCUGGUGGCGAGUGGCGAACGGGUGAGUAAUGUAUCGGAACGUGCCUAGUCGUUGGGGAUAACGUAGUGAAAAUUACGCUAAUACCGCAUACGAUCUAUGGAUGAAAGCGGGGGAUCGCAAAACCUCGCGCGAUUGGAGCGGCCGAUAUCAGAUUAGGUAGUUGGUGGGGUAAAGGCCCACCAAGCCAACGAUCUGUAGCUGGUCUGAGAGGACGACCAGCCACACUGGAACUGAGACACGGUCCAGACUCCUACGGGAGGCAGCAGUGGGGAAUUUUGGACAAUGGGCGAAAGCCUGAUCCAGCCAUUCCGCGUGCAGGAUGAAGGCCCUCGGGUUGUAAACUGCUUUUGUACAGAACGAAAAGGUUUCUACUAAUACUAGGAGCUCAUGACGGUACUGUAAGAAUAAGCACCGGCUAACUACGUGCCAGCAGCCGCAGUAA